CUACGGGUGGCACCAGUGGGGAAUAUUGCACAAUGGGCGCAAGCCUGAUGCAGCAACGCCGCGUGAGGGACGACGGCCUUCGGGUUGUAAACCUCUUUUAGCAGGGAAGAAGCGAAAGUGACGGUACCUGCAGAAAAAGCACCGGCUAACUACGUGCCAGCAGCCGCGGUAAUACGUAGGGUGCGAGCGUUGUCCGGAAGUAUUGGGCGUAAAGAGCUCGUAGGCGGUUUGUCGCGUCUGCUGUGAAAAUCCGAGGCUCAACCUCGGACCUGCAGUGGGUACGGGCAAACUAGAGUGCGGUAGGGGAGAUUGGAAUUCCUGGUGUAGCGGUGGAAUGCGCAGAUAUCAGGAGGAACACCAAUGGCGAAGGCAGAUCUCUGGGCCGUAACUGACGCUGAGGAGCGAAAGCGUGGGGAGCGAACAGGAUUAGAUACCCGCGUAGUC
rnacentral:rRNA from 1 species